CAAGGUACUAAUCUCGGUUGAGUAUCACACCCUCAACCUCGCUGUUGCUGCCUCUAAGAAGAAAAAGUAUUGGAGAGGAGAAGGGCCAUUGAUAUACUGGGAAGAACCUCACAACAUCCUGUUCGUCGUCAUUUCUGAAGGUUCCUUUCUAUGCAAUUAAAAUCCAGUAUGUGAACAUCAUAUAGAACACAGUUGCUUUCCCAGUCACCAGUCUUAGAAGCAGCAGCAGCCGUAGCUGAAGCAGCAGCAGAAACACAAUAUGAUAUACCUGGUUAUGUUGUACUUGACUUAAAAGUUGUAACUCUAUAUACAGAAGACAAUUGCAAGGAGAGAUUAUGGGAAAAUACCUUACUGGAACUCGCUUAGCUUAUUGUCUUUUACCUGCAUGAUUAUUUCACAGCUGUCAGAGAUAGUACAGUGUCCUGUUUUUAAUAAAAGCAGUGAAAGAAGAGAAUGUAGCAACUGGAAAACCUUUCUGCUGAAAGCAGGUCCCUCACAACUGAUUGGCUAAUUAAAACAUUGAUGCAGCUAAUCCACGUUGACAUUUUUAUAGCCUUUACAUGAAUCAACUUUUAAGGGUAUGGUGGGGAAGAGAGAUAAGUCCACUGGCACUUGAUCACAGAAAAAGAAGGUAUUGUAUGAAAAAAAUACUGGUUUAAAAUGAACAUAUAAAAAUUAACUCGGUGCCUAAAAAUAAACAUCAGUGGGAAUCUCCUACAUAGACGAUAACUAAUAAAAUAGUAUGUGAAAUGAUAAAUCCAUAGUGGCAAACAUCAGGUCUCCCAGGACCAGCUAAACUGUGCACAUGCACCCUUUGGGAUGGCACUGGUGACAAUUAUGUUCAUGUGUGAAGUCGUGAGUACUA